rnacentral:rRNA from 1 species
CACACCGCCCGUCACGCUAUGGAAGCCGCUAACACCUGAAGUCGCUGCGCUAACCGCAAGGAAGCAGGCGCCUAGGGUGGGAGGGGUAACUGGAGCG